rnacentral:rRNA from 1 species
UACGUAGGGGGCAAGCGUUGUCCGGAUUUAUUGGGCGUAAAGAGCGUGUAGGCGGCCUGACAGGUCUGCUGUGAAAACUCGAGGCUCAACCUCGAGAUGUCGGCGGAAACCGUCUGGCUAGAGUCCGGAAGAGGAGAGUGGAAUUCCUGGUGUAGCGGUGAAAUGCGUAGAUAUCUGGAGGAAUACCGGUGGCGAAGGCGGCAUCCUGGACCGACAUUGACGCUGAGGAGCGAAAGCUAGGGGAGCAAACGGG